ACAGUAGCAUGUCAGUUUAGCUUCAGCACAACAGCGUUCACGCGCAAUUCGUAGAGAAACUGCAAUUCUCCGGUUGAUGGUUUGAUUCCCGCGAGGAAAAAUAAAACAACCCGCGUGAGGCAGUGACGAAGCCCGACUGAGUCACAAUGCUGCUGCAAGCCAGACAUCCCCGCAAAGCGCGGCUUGUUUUCACACGUCAUUACAGGCGGGAUAAGGGUCAAGUUCCUCACAGCGAUUGCAAGCGACCUGAUGCAAAAUCUACUCCUAAUUUGCAUACAAGUGGACCUGGCAAACAGAAGCCAGUCGAACAAGGCUAGAGCAAUACAUUUGUCACGCUAAGGGCACGGCGGAUGUUAAGCAGCCGGCUGUUGAGCAGACGGAAACGACUACUCAAUCCAGGACAGACAGUCGAUGUGCUCAUUGAAGAAGAUUUACUCAUUAAGAAUCCGAUACAAGGGCAACAGUCUGUGGUUGCUGUGGGGAAUGGGGGAAGCCGUUGGAGACCCCCCACCCCACCUCCUUUUUGGUUCUCACCCCGGUGACACAUAAUGCUCCACGAAGGAGUGCGGCACAUGGGCAUUACAUAACGCCCAAAUCCUGGUCCUCCCUUGUCUCCGUUCCAGCUCCCACUCACGUAAAAAAAAAAAACAUCUGGGAGUGAAGAAGCAGAUUCCAGAGGCGGCAACUUCUGUGAGCUCAGAAUUAGCAACAAACUUGGACGGAUUUAGAUCUAUAGUACAGCGUUGCCAUGACUUUGGAGAUCUUAAAUUACACUGGUCAACAGUUAAUUUUAAUAAGUCCCUUAACAUAUUUGUUGACACAUUAAAAAAAAAAGUCUUUAUCCCAUCGCUAUUCGUUCUUCCCGUCUUUUUAUGCACCACAUAACAAAGAGAGCAUUUCACCAUUAAUGAAGUAAAGAUGUUGGACUUCCUAUUUGUUAAUUUUUCAGAGAUCGUGUUCUUGGGCUGCAGGAUGUUCACUUGGCCUCAGAGGAAGCUCUACAAAUGUAUGGACCAGCCUGAGAAGGAAGCAAAGACUUCCUGAGCAUAUAGUCCAGAUUCCAAAACAAAACAGAGGAAGCCAUCACGAAGUCACUGUACAAAAACCAGACCCUAAAAACUUGGGCGGAUUUCAAAUGUUCCACAUGGAAAAAGGUGGCGUGGGCCCCUCGCUAGGUAACUUGUGCAAGCGAAGUUCCGAUACUUGUUUUGAGUGGCUGCAAAUUGUGACCACAUUGGGAAUGCUGGAGCUCAUUUUAAUAUUUAUUUUUACUCCCUGUUUGGAUCGAUCUCACCCCCAUGUCCCACAUUAUUCCCUCCACUUUUUCUUUUUGAAAGCUCAACGUUAGCCCAUUCGAAGUUGCACCAACAUUUCCGGGCAAAAUAUGCCUCAAGUCAUCCUGUUAGCAAAUCUUGUGAGAUUUCAGUUUGGUGGUGUUGUCAAACUUUUUCCAACAUGUACCACCUAAAAAAAAAA